GAUGAACGCUGGCGGCGUGCCUAAUACAUGCCAGUCGAGCGAACAGACGAGGAGCUUGCUCCUCUGACGUUAGCGGCGGACGGGUGAGUAACACGUGGAUAACCUACCUAUAAGACUGGGAUAACUUCGGGAAACCGGAGCUAAUACCGGAUAAUAUAUUGAACCGCAUGGUUCAAUAGUGAAAGACGGUUUUGCUGUCACUUAUAGAUGGAUCCGCGCCGCAUUAGCUAGUUGGUAAGGUAACGGCUUACCAAGGCAACGAUGCGUAGCCGACCUGAGAGGGUGAUCGGCCACACUGGAACUGAGACACGGUCCAGACUCCUACGGGAGGCAGCAGUAGGGAAUCUUCCGCAAUGGGCGAAAGCCUGACGGAGCAACGCCGCGUGAGUGAUGAAGGUCUUCCGAUCGUAAAACUCUGUUAUUAGGGAAGAACAAAUGUGUAAGUAACUAUGCACGUCUUGACGGUACCUAAUCAGAAAGCCACGGCUAACUACGUG
rnacentral:rRNA from 1 species